rnacentral:lncRNA from 1 species
CCCUCUGGUGCAGGUCAACCAUAACAUGUUUUGGAGUGAGUUAUAGUGUGUGUUUGGCUUAGCCGUGGCUAGAAUUGAGUUUGAUAGAAUUGGGUUUAACAAAAUUAAUUUUGGUUAAAAGUGAGUUAAACAGAAUUGAUUUAUGUUUGGAUACAUAGAUGUAAAAGUGAUUCUCAACGUUUGAUGUUGUUUGCAUAAUUUGAGUCAAAAUUACUUUUAAUUGUGUAAAUUACCAAAAGGGUCUUAUCAUAUAUAUAUAUAUAUAAAAGUUUUUUUUGACAAUAUAACAUAUACAUAAGUUAUUCUUAUUGUUUGAAUAUUUUAAAUUAAAAUUGUUUUUAAAUGUAUAAUUACCAAUAUGAGUUUUAAUAUUAAAACUAAAUUUGUUUAAAAAAAAUAAUAUUAAAACUAAAUUAAAACUAAAUUUCAUUUAUAAUAAAAUGAAAAGAGAUUACGUCAAAUCUAAACAGAAUCCUAGAGUUAUUUUUAAUUUAGUUAAAAAAAAAAGAUUAUUUUUAAUAUUUGUUUUAAUAUGAUUGCUUCAAAGAGUGUAAAGAAUAAAAUAAGCCCAAAUCUGUUGCUUCAAAAAAAAAAAAAUACUCAGGUCUUUCAACCACCAGAUCUAUCUCAUUGUCGUUAUACAAAUUGAGCACCACACGGACUCGUCGUCUAUAACAAACUCACAUACACAGUAAGCAAACUCUUUCCUGCAGAAAUCCUCCACUCCUUAUUCUCUUUCUUCUUCCUCUUGAACAACAUGCAGACAAUUAUAUAAAGGGUAUAAAGGGUAAUAAGGGAAGAUAGCCUUGGGAAACACAAAGUAAAAUUCAGAAUCAAUUCAUGUAAACGCAGAAGCUCCGAAUCCUAGCUUCAAAGAGAAUCGAUUUUGAAUCCCUAGAAUUGAUUUUGGAAGACAAAGCCAAACAUAAAUUAUUUUCACUUUCACGGUAGAAGCAAGAAAAAACGUGCUUUUGGUAUCCUAGACUUGAAACCAAACACACACAUAGUAUUUACCAUGAAGCUCAUUCAUUUGGGUAGCCAAGUCAUGCAUGUACAUGUCACUCAUUUCAUAACAUUUUAAGAAAUUGCUAAUAAGUGUCCUAAGGACACAAGUUAAAGAAUCAAAAAUAGAAAUUUUAUUUUUGAAAUUGUGUAUUCAUUAUUUAAGAGGUUUGGAAUUGUCAUUUUUAAC